rnacentral:rRNA from 1 species
GCCUAACACAUGCAAGUCGAGGCGAGGAGAUCCUUCGGGAUGAUCCUAGCGGCGGACGGGUGAGUAACACGUGGGCACCUGCCUCAUAGAGAGGAAUAGCCUUCCGAAAGGGAGAUUAAUACCUCAUAACAUUGCAGUUUCGCAUGGAACAGCAAUUAAAGGAGCAAUCCGCUAUGAGAUGGGCCCCGCGGCGCAUUAGCUAGUUGGUGAGGUAACGGCUCACCAAGGCGACGAUGCGUAGCCGACCCUGAGAGGGUGAUCGGCCACAUUGGGACUGAGACACGGCCCAGACUCCUACGGGAGGCAGCAGUGGGGAAUAUUGCACAAUGGGGGAAACCCUGAUGCAGCAACGCCGCGUGAGUGAUGACGGCCUUCGGGUUGUAAAGCUCUGUCUUCAGGGACGAUAAUGACGGUACCUGAGGAGGAAGCCACGGCUAACUACGUGCCAGCCGCCGC